UACGUAGGGGGCGAGCGUUGUCCGGAGUUACUGGGCGUAAAGCGCACGCAGGCGGUCUGCUAAGUUUGGAGUGACAGUUGGUGGCUCAACCACCAAAGUGCUUCGAAAACUGACAGACUUGAGGGCUUCAGAGGGACACGGAAUUCCGGGUGGAGUGGUGAAAUGCGUAGAGAUCCGGAGGAAUACCGAAGGCGAAGGCAGUGUCCUGGGGAGUACCUGACGCUCAGGUGCGAAAGCUAGGGGAGCGAACGGG
rnacentral:rRNA from 1 species